GACGUAGGGCGCGAGCGUUGUCCGGAUUUAUUGGGCGUAAAGAGCUCGUAGGCGGUUUGUCGCGUCUGCUGUGAAAACCUAAGGCUCAACCUUGGGCUUGCAGUGGGUACGGGCAGACUAGAGUGCGGUAGGGGUGACUGGAAUUCCUGGUGUAGCGGUGGAAUGCGCAGAUAUCAGGAGGAACACCGGUGGCGAAGGCGGGUCUCUGGGCCGAUAUUGACGCUGGAGGAGCGAAAGCGUUGGGGAGCGAACAGG
rnacentral:rRNA from 1 species